AUUGAACGCUGGCGGAAUGCUUUACACAUGCAGGUCGAACGACAGCACGGACUUCGGUCUGGUGGCGAGUGGCGAACGGGUGAGUAAUACAUCGGAACGUGCCCAGUCGUGGGGGAUAACGUAGCGAAAGCUACGCUAAUACCGCAUACGAUCUAAGGAUGAAAGCGGGGGAUCGCAAGACCUCGCGCGAUUGGAGCGGCCGAUGGCAUAUUAGGUAGUUGGUAGGGUAAAGGCCUACCAAGCCGACGAUCUGUAGCUGGUCUGAGAGGAUGAUCAGCCACACUGGGACUGAGACACGGCCCAGACUCCUACGGGAGGCAGCAGUGGGGAAUUUUGGACAAUGGGCGCAAGCCUGAUCCAGCCAUUCCGCGUGCAGGAUGAAGGCCUUCGGGUUGUAAACUGCUUUUGUACAGAACGAAAAGGCUCUGGUUAAUACCCGGGGCUCAUGACGGUACUGUAAGAAUAAGCACCGGCUAACUACGUGCCAGCCGCCGCAGUAA
rnacentral:rRNA from 1 species